GAGUUUGAUCAUGGCUCAGGAUGAACGCUAGCGAUAGGCUUAACACAUGCAAGUCGAGGGGCAGCACGUAUUCAGCUUGCUGAAUAUGGUGGCGACCGGCGGAUGGGUGCGUAACGCGUAUGCAACUUACCUGUCAGAGGGGGAUAACCCGGAGAAAUUCGGACUAAUACCGCAUAUACUUGAGAUACUGCAUGGUAUUUCAAGGAAAUAUUUAUAGCUGACAGAUAGGCAUGCGUUCCAUUAGCUGGUAGGUGAGGUAACGGCUCACCUAGGCGACGAUGGAUAGGGGAACUGAGAGGUUAAACCCCCACACUGGUACUGAGACACGGACCAGACUCCUACGGGAGGCAGCAGUGAGGAAUAUUGGUCAAUGGGCGAGAGCCUGAACCAGCCAAUUCGCGUGAAGGAUGACUGCCCUAUGGGUUGUAAACUUCUUUAGUAGGGGAUUAAAGUUUGCCUUGCGAGGCAAUUUUGCAAGUACCCUAAGAAUAAGAUCGCA
rnacentral:rRNA from 1 species